rnacentral:rRNA from 1 species
UUUGUGUAGGAUAGGUGGGAGACUGUGAAGUGGUCACGCUAGUGGUUGUGGAGUCGAAAGUUGAAAUACCACUCUGAUCGGAUUGAGCACCUUAACCUUGGCCCAUGAUCUGGGUUGGGGACAGUGCCUGGUGGGUAGUUUAACUGGGGCGGUUGCCUCCUAAAAUGUAACGGAGGCGCCCAAAGGUUCCCUCAGCCUGGUUGGCAAUCAGGUGGUGAGUGUAAGUGCACAAGGGAGCUUGACUGUGAGACUGAC